CGAAGGGUGCAAGCGUUAAUCGGAAUUACUGGGCGUAAAGCGUGCGUAGGUGGUUGUUUAAGUCUGUCGUGAAAGCCCUGGGCUCAACCUGGGAAUGGCGAUGGAUACUGGGCGACUGGAGUGCGGUAGAGGAUGGCGGAAUUCCCGGUGUAGCGGUGAAAUGCGUAGAGAUCGGGAGGAACAUCCGUGGCGAAGGCGGCCAUCUGGACCAGCACUGACACUGAGGCACGAAAGCGUGGGGAGCAAA
rnacentral:rRNA from 1 species